UACGUAGGGUGCAAGCGUUGUCCGGAAUUAUUGGGCGUAAAGAGCUCGUAGGCGGUCUGUUGCGUCGGCUGUGAAAACCCGAGGCUCAACCUCGGGCCUGCAGCCGAUACGGGCAGACUAGAGUUCGGCAGGGGAGACUGGAAUUCCUGGUGUAGCGGUGAAAUGCGCAGAUAUCAGGAGGAACACCAGUAGCGAAGGCGGCACUCUGGGCCGGUACUGACGCUGAGGAGCGAAAGCGUGGGGAGCGAACAGG
rnacentral:rRNA from 1 species